UGCCAUGCUCACAACUCCACGGGUUUC
rnacentral:piRNA from 1 species